rnacentral:lncRNA from 1 species
GGUGAGUGCAUUUGUCUUCAAGAGAGAGGGGCCAGAAUUCUGCUGGAAGAAAUCUAUCAAAAUGUCUCUGAUGGAGAAAUGAUGAAGCAAUGAGCAAGUUUACAAACGGUUCUUAUUUGACAGCUGCCAUACUCAGGACACCCACAGAUGUUUGACAAAUGGAGAGGUGAAUUUUCUGGCCAUUCUGAAUAGCCUACAGAGAAAUACUGGGAGCCUACUGAGAACCCUGCUUAAAUCUCAGAGUCCUUUUAAAACUCCCCUUUAUUGCCAUGUUCAAUUUAGGUUUCUCCAUGUGUACCAGAAAAAGAGAGAUUAUAAAAACAUUAUGACCAGACAUAGA